AAGCAACCUCAUUUGAGCAAAUAUAGUCCAUACCUAGCUAUUCUACUCUCUCUCUCUCAUGGUGAAACCCUAGAUCCAAAAAGUAGCUCUAAUUGAGCAAGAGGGCACAAAAGAGCCUUUAGAGGCAUCAACUAACCUUUCUUAGCCACCUCCUUCCAAGAAAUGAAGAUCAAAACCUCCCCCCUUGUAUUUUGGAAAAACUGGACCUCCAAGAUGUGCUCCAAUAGAAUGUGGCUGCGAGCUACAGUUCUACACGAGG
rnacentral:lncRNA from 1 species